ACCGUUGUUGAGACUUUGGAGUAACCGGUCUUUGCAAGGCGCCGCCGUUUCACUUGUACCACGCACCUUUGUGUGCGCGUGCUCUUUUUUCGCGGUCUGGUUUAUUUGUUUGAAAAGAAUUGGCCUUCAACUUCGAGAGAAUCAUCGAAGCGUGCCUUGUAUGAUCAGCCCCACCGAUUCGAGCGAGCUCUCCAAUUCCUUCCAGUUGACUUGUUCUCUGUCUUAGGUUUGAACAUGGCAGUCAAGUACACUAUACCUGCUGUUUUGGGAUCAUUUGCAAUCGCAUUUGCAUGUGACCAUUAUAAUGGUGACAGGAAGAUAUUUGGAGGCAAGUUUUUCCCCUCCCUUUCUUUCUCCUCCCUGUUGAAUAAUAGAAUUUCCCUGAAAAAGGAACUGCCCUAGUACAUGGGCUGUAGAUAAGAGAAAUCAGUAGAAUGUGAGGAAAUGGUUAACAUUGCAAUCUAAAAGACUGUAAAAUAAAGAAAGGUAACAAAGUGCAAUACUUUUAAGGACGAGAUUGGAUUGAAAAGGGAGCAUGACAAGAGGAGAUUCAGUUUUUUGACUGGCUCCACUGAUACAAAUGAGAAGCCCUUCAUCUGAUGCCAAAAUUACCAUAUGAAGUACAACAGGACUACAAGAAGCUCCAGUCCUUCACGUUAUGGGUUCUAUCCCGAAGCUUUUCAGCUCUUGUGGUUUAAUACUAUGAUACCAUUGCUGAUUUUUCUGAUCCAGGUACUACCCCAAAAACUGUUGCAAUCAAGGAAUGGUGGGAAGAAACUGACAGGAAAUUCCAGGCAUGGCCUCGAGCUGCAGGUCUAGCCAUGGUCAUGAAUCCUAUCAGUCGCCAGAAUUUCAUUGUCAAGUCCUCACUGAGUCUUGAAGGUCUCAUCUUACACUUAAUUGGUUCCCUUCUGCUCGUAUAGAACUGAAUUAGAAGUUUUUCCUGUUUGAUACCUGAAUUGGAAGGAGUUUAGAUCAUAAUUGGCUUUCACGACCUUUCAUCAGUGUACUUUUUUUCUGUAAUGGGUGGUGUUUAAUGCCAGUUGUGAGCCUUACUAUAUCUGUAUAGAUGUGAGGAAACGGUAUAUUAUGAUAUUAUCGCGUGUAUAUAUGUAUGAUUUUGUCUUUGAUGUACAACUCUUAAUCCAAGUAGUAGCUCAUUCGUUCCUUAACA